rnacentral:rRNA from 1 species
AGAGUUUGAUCAUGGCUCAGGAUGAACGCUGGCGGCGUGCCUAACACAUGCAAGUCGAGCGAUUUACUUCGGUAAAGAGCGGCGGACGGGUGAGUAACGCGUGGGUAACCUGCCUCAUACACAUGGAUAACAUACCGAAAGGUAUGCUAAUACAAGAUAAUAUAAGAGAUUCGCAUGGGCCUCUUAUCAAAGCUCCGGCGGUAUGAGAUGGACCCGCGUCUGAUUAGCUAGUUGGUAAGGUAACGGCUUACCAAGGCGACGAUCAGUAGCCGACCUGAGAGGGUGAUCGGCCACAUUGGAACUGAGACACGGUCCAAACUCCUACGGGAGGCAGCAGUGGGGAAUAUUGCACAAUGGGCGAAAGCCUGAUGCAGCAACGCCGCGUGAGCGAUGAAGGCCUUCGGGUCGUAAAGCUCUGUCCUCAAGGAAGGUAAUGACGGUACUUGAGGAGGAAGCCCCGGCUAACUACGUGCCAGCAGCCGCGGUAAUACGUAGGGGGCUAGCGUUAUCCGGAUUUACUGGGCGUAAAGGGUGCGUAGGUGGUUUCUUAAGUCAGGAGUGAAAGGCUACGGCUCAACCGUAGUAAGCUCUUGAAACUGGGAAACUUGAGUGCAGGAGAGGAAAGUGGAAUUCCUAGUGUAGCGGUGAAAUGCGUAGAUAUUAGGAGGAACACCAGUAGCGAAGGCGGCUUUCUGGACUGUAACUGACACUGAGGCACGAAAGCGUGGGGAGCAAACAGGAUUAGAUACCCUGGUAGUCCACGCCGUAAACGAUGAGUACUAUGUGUCGGGGGUUACCCCCCUCGGUGCCGCAGCUAACGCAUUAAGUACUCCGCCUGGGGAGUACGCUCGCAAGAGUGAAACUCAAAGGAAUUGACGG